rnacentral:rRNA from 1 species
ACGGGUGAGUAAUGUCUGGGAAACUGCCCGAUGGAGGGGGAUAACUACUGGAAACGGUAGCUAAUACCGCAUAACGUCUUCGGACCAAAGUGGGGGACCUUCGGGCCUCACACCAUCGGAUGUGCCCAGAUGGGAUUAGCUAGUAGGUGAGGUAAUGGCUCACCUAGGCGACGAUCCCUAGCUGGUCUGAGAGGAUGACCAGCCACACUGGAACUGAGACACGGUCCAGACUCCUACGGGAGGCAGCAGUGGGGAAUAUUGCACAAUGGGCGCAAGCCUGAUGCAGCCAUGCCGCGUGUGUGAAGAAGGCCUUCGGGUUGUAAAGCACUUUCAGCGAGGAGGAAGGGUUCAGUGUUAAUAGCACCGUUCAUUGACGUUACUCGCAGAAGAAGCACCGGCUAACUCCGUGCC